rfam:Stegodyphus mimosarum contig18892, whole genome shotgun sequence.
GUCGGUUAUGGGGACAUGGUCCCCAAGACUUAUGCCGGCAUGUUUGUGGGCGCCCUAUGCGCACUGGCAGGUGUGCUCACCAUAUCACUGCCCGUGCCCGUCAUCGUGUCCAAC